rnacentral:siRNA from 1 species
AUAGUUUGCUAAUUCGUCUGUUAG